rnacentral:tRNA from 1 species
AGGAGAAUAAUUAUCCCCGUUGGGUCGUUAGCUCAGUUGGUAGAGCAGUUGACUCUUAAUCAAUUGGUCGCAG